rnacentral:rRNA from 1 species
GAUGAACGCUGGCGGCGUGCCUAAUACAUGCAAGUCGAGCGAACGGACGAGAAGCUUGCUUUUCUGAUGUUAGCGGCGGACGGGUGAGUAACACGUGGAUAACCUACCUAUAAGACUGGGAUAACUUCGGGAAACCGGCGCUAAUACCGGAUAAUAUUUUGAACCGCAUGGUUCAAAAGUGAAAGACGGUCUUUCUGUCACUUAUAGAUGGAUCCGCGCUGCAUUCGCUAGUUGGUAAGGUAACGGCUUACCAAGGCAACGAUGCAUAGCCGACCUGAGAGGGUGAUCGGCCACACUGGAACUGAGACACGGUCCAGACUCCGACGGGAGGCAGCAGUAGGGAAUCUUCCGCAAUGGGCGAAAGCCUGACGGAGCAACGCCGCGUGAGUGAUGAAGGUCUUCGGAUCGUAAAACUCUGUUAUUAGGGAAGAACAUAUGUGUAAGUAACUGUGCACAUCUUGACGGUACCUAAUCAGAAAGCCACGGCUAACUACGUG